CCUACGGGAGGCAGCAGCAGGGAAUAUUGCGCAAUGGGUGAAAGCCUGACGCAGCCACGCCGCGUGGGGGAUGAAGGCCCUCGGGUCGUAAACCCCUUUUCUCAGGGAAGAUAAUGACGGUACCUGAGGAAUAAGUCUCGGCUAACUACGUGCCAGCAGCCGCGGUAA
rnacentral:rRNA from 1 species